CCUACGGGCGGCUGCAGUGAGGAAUAUUGGUCAAUGGACGCAAGUCUGAACCAGCCAUGCCGCGUGAAGGAAGACGGCUCUAUGAGUUGUAAACUGCUUUUGUACGAGGGUAAACGCAGAUACGCGUAUCUGUCUGAAAGUAUCGUACGAAUAAGGAUCGGCUAACUCCGUGCCAGCAGCCGCGGUAAUACGGAGGAUUCAAGCGUUAUCCGGAUUUAGUGGGUUUAAAGGGUGCGUAGGCGGUCGGAUAAGUUAGAGGUGAAAUCCCGAGGCUCAACUUCGGAAUUGCCUCUGAUACUGUUCGGCUAGAGAGUAGGUGCGGUAGGCGGAAUGUAUGGUGUAGCGGUGAAAUGCUUAGAGAUCAUACAGAACACCGAUUGCGAAGGCAGCUUACCAAGCUACUACUGACGUUGAGGCACGAAAGCGUGGGGAGCAAACAGGAUUAGAUACCCGGGUAGUC
rnacentral:rRNA from 1 species